UUUAGAGCUAGGUUACCCUAGUACUUAGCCAUCUCGACGAGAACACUGCCGAACUAUUCGGCACCCCAUUGUAACCCGUUAUCAUCAUAAUCAAGAACAGACAGGCAGGACGUAAGGGUUUUACCUCAUCGAGGGCCCCGAACCUGGGUAAAUCGCUCUCCCCGCUUGUCUGAGAACCGAUGUCUCGUGUCAGCUUGCAGGAUUCCAUCAACCCUAAGCCCCUAUCGGAGGGCAUUGCCGAGGAGCACCCUCGACACCCUCACCCGUACAGGUUCACGAGAGGCAGGGUUCCGGAGGCCUACUGUCCCGGCAGUCGGUGCACGCCGACGGACGGGAUGAGGAAGACGAAGGCGGCGGCGCAAUGAACUGGAAAUAGGUAGUCGCAUGUGCAUCUGAUACAGACUAGGGUUGGCGUCCGCGCUUAAGGCAAAACGGGUAACGCGUCCGUUAAUAACUCGAAAUUGAUUACACAAUUAAUUUCCCAAACAGCAAAAAGAUAAGCUCGGCUCGGCGAGAUUCCCGCAACCCGCGGCGCGUCGUGGCGAGGCGGGCGGCGGAGGAGGAGGAGUGCGUGAGGGUUCUCUCUCUUCUCACUCACUUACUAGGACUAGAACAGCCCACCUUAUAUACCACUCCAACUCUUUUCCAACUAGCAAUGUGGGACUAAACUUCAGCUUCCACUAGUGCUGCCACUGAUUUUUGAAAUGGGCCAUGUGAGUUUCAGAAUUUAAUAAUGGGCUAUGGGCCAAAGGCUAAAUGCCCAAAAUUCCAGCACCUCCUCUGGCUAUCUCUAUGGUGGAACCUAAAACUCAGACAAGGCCAGAACUCGCAUCAGGAGGCACUUCAUGACCUCCUACCAAGUGCUCCAACCAUGUGCCUCGACGGGCUCCAACAAAGUUGGUCUCUUAAUUGUCUUGCGCUGCCGUAGCAGAGGGGAUUAGUACCGCCGGAGCAGAAAGAGGUCUUUGGCUGUAGCAAGGACCACAGAUCUCAUGUAAAAGUAGGAGGAGGUAUGGUGGCAUGGUGCUGAUAUGUUUCCUGUUGAAGCUAUGGCGAUACGCCUACUGCGAGAAGGCUUCGGUUCCACAAGCUCCCUUCACCAGGGAUUCUCCAUGGAGUCCACGGGUGAAGAAGAGGGGGCAGCGUUCUUCAGCGUGCUUCUGUUUCGUCUCCUGGAUGAAGAGCGCUACUUCUACAAAUGUCCGCUCAUUUUGGAAUGCAGCCAAAGCGGACCUAAUAACGAGGAUGGGCGCUCGACGAAGUAAUCGAGUUUCCAACCCGAAGCCUGAAGGCAUCUCCGUCUCAAGUAUCUCAUUUCCCUAAACGAUGUGUGCCUGCUAUGUAAAGCCACACCUCUUAUGGUUAAAAUUCAUGUCUGCUGUCAAGUCAAAAAAAAAAACAUGUCUGAUGUUUCCAUCUGAUGUGCAGUAUUUCUCAUCUCCGUCGAUUUUGAUAGAUAGAGGAGGCUACUCAUCAUGAUAUAUAAUCUAAAUAAUUAUACCAAGGUUGAGCUGCCACUCUCAAGACCUGGUUAGUUAAAUGUGUUUUCUGCCGCAAUUUCCCCAAACAAAUAUUAAUUAUGUUCUAGAUCAUUAUGGUGUCAAUGUAGAUUUGUUACUAUGCAGGCAUGCAGUUAUUGAGGGUAAGCCUUUUUCAUUCGAACAAUGCUGAAUAUUGUAUUCAUAUAUUCUUUUCUCUCUAGGAAUCUAACUUUUACCAGUUGUUCUUACCAUAUCAUUUUCUCUUCGGUGCUUUCUAUGGGCAGCCUUACUGGACAUACAUUGUGCGGAAAAGACAUCAUCAACCCUCCAGCUCUUUAUUUGCUCAAGUGGUCCUUCUUUCUUUGCAGGUGUUGUCCUUUUGUGUGUCCACACCAGCAGCAUAUAAGAUUUUGUGUGCAAAAAAGACAUGUACAUGCUUACUUUAUAGGUUCGUGCCACAUAACUGUUUUGUAUUGUUUUUCUUAUAACAGAGUUGUUCUUUACUUUAUAGAUUCAUAUAGUGAUCCUCCAAACUUUCUGCGAGCCAACUGUUUUUCUGUUGCUGAACAUGCUGUGAGAUGCUAUCAGUGUUUAUGAGGGGUUUUUGAUAGUACACUAUUAGGUGAUGUCAUUUGGAAUAUGGUCAGUAUCACUUAUAUGUAUUUAUUUAGUUCUUAUUACCCAUUGGCUUGCUGUGAUGCUAGCACAUUAUUUCAUUUAUGCACUGUAGUACAAGACUAGGAGUUAGCCAAUGGCACUAAUAUUUAUAUUACAUGCACCGUCUACCAGAUGGCCAUUUACACUUCAGCGUCGGCAGUAUCCCUUUGCCUUCGCUAUGAAAAGACAAUUAACAAGAGCCAAGGCCAGACCCUUGACAAAGUAGGUACUUGAUAGUUGAUAACCUCUGACGAUACAUAUGCAGGUAGUUUUUCUAUAAACUUUUUUGUGUUGUUCACCUAUCUGUGUAUAUUGUGCAUUCAGUGAGCUUAUUUUUUUGGCUUUUAAUUUUCAUUCCGCAGGAUAUGCUCUUAAUGUUGGUUUCAUCUUUUGCGACCGUGUGUGUUCACUGUGAAAACUAUGUUCUACUGCUCAUGCAGAUGAUGCUAUGUUUUCUGCCUAGAUGCUCCUGCCAUGAGUUUUAUAAAUUUUCUACUACAUUGUUUCUUAAUCAAGUACACAGAAUCGGAGCUAAUUAUUUAAAUUCUAUUGCAGAAGCAGGUUUAUAGUCAGGGAAUUAAUUUCGGAGGUCUGCAGAUAGCAGCUACAAAUGUUCAUUGCUCAACGAGUCUGCAGAUAGCAGCUAAAAGAUUCAGUGCUUGAGGAGUUAAUAUCGAAUGCCUGCAGAUGUUAGCUGCAGCUAUCCGGUGUCUAAAUUACCAUCGGCAGUCCAUAAAAAUACGAAUAGAACUUAUUUAGUGUACAUUAUGUUGCUGCUACGUUCUGUAUGCUUUUUUUUUACCAACUGGUACUGUAUUGUGCUGUAAUUUGUAGUUCCUUUUUCUCUGCUAUGAAAUGCUUUGUCUA